GACGUAGGGGGCCAGCGUUGUUCGGAAUUACUGGGUGUAAAGGGUUCGUAGGCGGUGCGGCAAGUUGGGAGUGAAAUCUCUGGGCUUAACCCAGAGGCUGCUUCCAAAACUGCUGUGCUUGAGUGUGGGAGAGGCGCGUGGAAUUGCAGGUGUAGCGGUGAAAUGCGUAGAUAUCUGCAGGAACACCCGUGGCGAAAAGCGGCGCGCUGGACCACUACUGACGUGAGGAACGAAAGCUAGGGGAGCAAACAGG
rnacentral:rRNA from 1 species